UACGUGGGGUGCGAGCGUUGUUCGGAAAUACUGGGCGUGAAGCGCGUGUAGGCGGCAUAUUAUGUACGGUGUGAAAGCCCUCGGGCAAACCCAGGAAACGCGCCUGAAACUACUAGGCUUGAGUACGAGAGAGGAGGACGGAAUUCCCAGUGUAGAGGUGAAAUUCGUAGAUAUUGGGAGGAACACCGGCGGCGAAAGCGGUUCUCUGGAUCGAUACUGAAGCUAAGACGCGACAGCGUGGGGAGCAAACAGG
rnacentral:rRNA from 1 species